ACUCAAAUGAAUUGACGGGGGCCCGCACAAGCGGUGGAGCAUGUUGUUUAAUUCGAUGCAUCGCGAAGAACCUUACCUGGGCUUGACAUCUGGGGAAUCCCCUUGAAAGAGGGGAGUGCCUUCGGGAACCCCAAGACAGGUGUUGCAUGGCUGUCGUCAGCUCGUGUCGUGAGAUGUUGGGUUAAGUCCCGCAACGAGCGCAACCCUUGUCCUUAGUUGCCAUCGGGUUAUGCCGGGAACUCUAAGGAAACUGCCGGUGUUAAACCGGAGGAAGGUGGGGAUGACGUCAAGUCCUCAUGGCCUUUAUGCCCAGGGCUACAGACGUGCUACAAUGGUCGGUACAAAGGGCAGCGACAACGCGAGUUGAAGCAAAUCCCAAAAAGCCGAUCUCAGUCCGGAUUGAAGUCUGCAACUCGACUUCAUGAAGUUGGAAUCGCUAGUAAUCGCGGAUCAGAACGCCGCGGUGAAUACGUUCCCGGGCCUUGUACACACCGCCCGU
rnacentral:rRNA from 1 species